GCUCUUUCAGGGACGCUGUAAGAAUAACAGCCAAGACUCCCUCCUCUGAAAGGUAUCUGAUGGCUGCUUGUCAAUGGGCUUUGUUUUAAUAGUGCAGAGUCAGUAUAUAAUUAAUGCAGACUUUUAUGAAUCCAGAUUUUACCCUCAAUGUUGCUUCUAUUUUAAAAAGUAGUGAAUAAGAAUCUGAAACCAAGAGGAUGUCAAAUCACUUCUCUCAUUCAGGACCUGGAAGGGAGUCCAUCCAGGGUAGGUUCGUAGACUAUCAGUUCCAAUGAUCAUACACUUCAGUUUUACGUAAAAAGGUCAAGGGCUUUUAUCUUUGAGUCUAAGAAGGUGUUUAGAGAUGGUUUAGAGGAAGUGCAAUGGGAAAGGCUUGCUCUCCUCUUCAGGCAGCCUUUGAACAGCAUAACAUGUUAUUUCCAGUGACAUGUUGAAAUUGUCCAGGAUGCAGACAAGAGCAAGCUGUAGAAUGCUGAUGGCAUCCUAGGUUUCCCUGACCUAUGAAAGAAAUCAUGAUUGGCUGUUUAUCUUUCCAGAAACAUAAAGUGACAUCUUCGUGCCAGAUACCCUAAUGUCUAGUACAGCUAAGUUUUUGCUUGAAAUCUAGUAGUCACACAUAUGAAUUAGCUGUUGUAUCAUGCUAAUACAAUGCAUUCCUUCUAGCUGGUUCUUAAAUACCAUAAAGUAUUGCACUCAGUUAUAAUGCUGACUUUACUAAUAUUCUGUCCAGCCUUGUUUUUCUCUCAUGUGCAUUCCCCUGUCUUUGAUUGAAUUAUAUUAAAUUCCUCUAUUUUGUCCCCUUUAAGUAGCUGCCAAAAACUUGCCAUGAGUAACUUGUGAUACAGUGUUUUCUCUGUUUGGAUGGACACAAGAGCUUUCAUCACAAUGGAAUGCUUAUGGAAUCACAUAUUUCAAAGGACACUAACACGAAAAUACAACUUCAUUCAGAGACAGGUUACAAUGAUGAAUAGUAAUGCAGCAAUUACUAAAAGAAUUUGCAAUUUGCUUUUAAAGUAUUGGCUUUGGUCUUCAGUGAUUAUAAAAUGCAAUUCAUGUUUUGUCCUUAUAAACUUUAUGAACCUAAAUGAAUCUCACUUUCAUGCUAUUUGUGACUGUAGUAGUGUUGUUUGAUGAAAAGAAAAGAGAUAUUGUAGCUAUGAUGAAUCAGAAUUUAAGAUCUGACCAAUAUUGUUACCAAGAUUGUAUAAUAAAAUUUGCUGGUUUUCUUGAAAUAAUCUUAUUUUUCAAAUGCAUAUUUUACUCAAUAUCUGCAGUGUGGAAUUUAUCAUCUUCUAAUAUUUGGUAAAAAUCAUUGAACCAUUCAUUCACUCAACAAAUUUUUAAUAAGUACUCAUUGUGACUAGAACUGGG
rnacentral:lncRNA from 1 species